rnacentral:rRNA from 1 species
UACGAGGGGGGCAAGCGUUGUUCGGAAUUAUUGGGCGUAAAGGGCGCGUAGGCGGUGCGGUAAGUCUGAUGUGAAAUCUCCGGGCUCAACUCGGAGUCUGCAUCAGAAACUGCCGUGCUCGAGUGUGGGAGAGGUGAGUGGAAUUCCCGGUGUAGCGGUGAAAUGCGUAGAUAUCAGGAGGAACACCUGUGGCGAAAGCGGCGCACUGGACCACAACUGACGCUGAGGCGCGAAAGCUAGGGGAGCAAACAGG